rnacentral:rRNA from 1 species
GUCUCAAAGAUUAAGCCAUGCAUGUCUAAGUAUAAGCACUUGUACUGUGAAACUGCGAAUGGCUCAUUAAAUCAGUUAUCGUUUAUUUGAUUGUACUUUACUACAUGGAUACCUGUGGUAAUUCUAGAGCUAAUACAUGCGAAAAGUCCCAACUUCUGGAAGGGAUGUAUUUAUUAGAUUAAAAGCCAAUGCGGGUCAAACCGUCCAUUUGGUGAUACAUGAUAACUUAUCGAAUCGCAUGGCCCAGCGCCGGCGAUAUUUCAUUCAAAUUUCUGCCCUAUCAACUUUCGAUGGUAAGGUAGUGGCUUACCAUGGUCGUAACGGGUGACGGAGAAUUAGGGUUCGAUUCCGGAGAGGGAGCCUGAGAAACGGCUACCACAUCUAAGGAAGGCAGCAGGCACGAAAAUUACCCAAUCCCAAUUCGGGGAGGUAGUGACAAGAAAUAACAAUACGGGGUCUUUAUAGGUCUCGCAAUUGGAAUGAGUACAAUUUAAAUCCUUUAACGAGUACCAAUUGGAGGGCCAAGUCUGGUG